rnacentral:misc_RNA from 1 species
UCCGAGUUGACCCCGGCAGUCUCCUAUGAGCCCCCACCAUUACGUGCUGGCAACAUAGGACGAGGGUUGCGCUCGUUGCGGGACUUAACCCAACAUCUCACGACACGAGCUGACGACAACCAUGCACCACCUGUGCACGGCCCUUACGGACCCCCCAUCUCUGGGAGAUUUCCGUGCAUGUCAAGCCUAGGUAAGGUUCUUCGCGUUGCAUCGAAUUAAGCAACAUGCUCCGCCGCUUGUGCGGGCCCCCGUCAAUUCCUUUGAGUUUUAGCCUUGCGGCCGUACUCCCCAGGCGGGGCGCUUAAUGCGUUAGCUGCGGCACGGAACUACGAGCGCAAGCUUAAAACUCAAAGGAAUUGA